rnacentral:rRNA from 1 species
AUUGAACGCUGGCGGCAGGCCUAACACAUGCAAGUCGAACGGUAACAGGAAGAAGCUUGCUUCUUUGCUGACGCGUGGCGGACGGGUGAGUAAUGUCUAUGAAACUUCCUGAUGGAGGGGGAUAACUACUGGAAACGGUAGCUAAUACCGCAUAACGUCCCAAGACCAGAGAGGAGGACCUUCGGGCCUCUUGCCAUCGGAUGUGCCCAGAUGGGAUUAGCUAGUAGGUGGGGUAACGGCUCACCUAGGCGACGAUCCCUAGCUGGUCUGAGAGGAUGACCAGCCACACUGGAACUGAGACACGGUCCAGACUCCUACGGGAGGCAGCAGUGGGGAAUAUUGCACAAUGGGCGCAAGCCUGAUGCAGCCAUGCCGCGUGUAUGAAGAAGGCCUUCGGGUUGUAAAGUACUUUUAGCGGGGAGGAAGGGAGUAAAGUUAAUACCUCUGCUCAUUGACGUUACCCGAAGAAGAAGCACCGGCUAACUCCGUG